GAUCAUGGCUCAGGACGAACGCUGGCGGCGCGCCUAACACAUGCAAGUCGAACGAGCGAGAGGGAGCUUGCUUUCUCAAGCGAGUGGCGAACGGGUGAGUAACGCGUGAGGAACCUGCCUCAAAGAGGGGGACAACAGUUGGAAACGACUGCUAAUACCGCAUAAGCCCACGACCCGGCAUCGGGUAGAGGGAAAAGGAGCAAUCCGCUUUGAGAUGGCCUCGCGUCCGAUUAGCUAGUUGGUG
rnacentral:rRNA from 1 species